UCUAUUAUUGAUUUCUUAUUUAAUUUUGGUAUAGCCAGAGAACACCAUUUACGUGGAUGAUCUCGGCUCACCACAACCUCUGCCUCCUGGGUUCAAGCGGUUCUCCUGCCUCAGCCUCCCAAGUAGCUGGGAUUACAGGCAUGUGCCACCAUGCACGGCUAGUUUUGUAUUUUUAGUAGAGAUGGGGUUUCACCAUGUUGGUCAGGCUGGUCUUGAACUCCCGACCUGAGGUGAUCCACUGCCUCAGCCGCCUAAAGUGCUGGGAUUACAAGUGUGAGCCACCACGCCCAGCCUUGUGUGGUUUUAAUUUAUUAAAAAUUGUUAAAGUUUACUUUAUGACCCAGAAUAUGAUCUAUCUGGGUAUAUGUUCUGUGGGCACUUGGAAAGAGUAUGUAUUCUGUUGCUCUUGAGUAGAGUGUUUUAUAAAUGUCCGUUAUAUUAAACCAGUUGAUAAUGUUAUCCACGUUUUAUAUAUCCUUUUUGAUUUCCAUCUAUUUGUUUAUCAGUUAUUGAGAACAGAGUUAUUGAAGUCUCCCAGUUAUGACUGUGGAUUUUUCCAUGUCUCUUUUAGUUCUAUCAAUUUUUGCUUCAUUUAUUUUGGAUCUUUGUUAGUUGCAUACUAUAUUUCAGUGUUUAUCUUCUUGGUGAAUUGACCCUUUUAUCAUUAUGUAACUUCCCUAUAUUUAUAUCUUUAUAUUUAAAAUAGGUUUCCUUAAACCAUAAGACAUUUGAGAAGUAAAAAUAAAAUAAAAUAGCUUUCUUGCUGAUAGCAUAUAGUCGGGUCUUGUUUUUUUCUUUUUCCAAUCCGAUAAUCUUUGUCUUUUUUUUUUUUUUUUUUUUGGAAAUGGAAUCUUGCUCUACCACCUGGGCUGGAAUGCAAUGACGUGAUCUCGGCUCACUGCAGCCUCCACCUCCCAGGUUCAAGCGAUUCUCCUGCCUCAGCCUCCCGAGUAGCUGGGAUUAUAGGCACCCGCCACCAUGCCCAGCUAAUUUUUGUAUUGUUAGUAGAGACGGGGUUUCACCAUGUUGGUCAGGCUGGGGGAGUUUUCUAUUAUUUAUUUCUUGUUUAAUUUUGGUAUAGCCAGAGAACAUGCUUUAUGUGGUUUUAUUAAAAAUUGUUAGUUUAUUUUAUGACCCAGAAUAUGAUCUAUCUGGGUAUAUGUUCUGUGGGCACUUGGAAAGAAUAUGUAUUCUGUUGUUCUUGGGUAGAGUGUUUUUUGUAAAUGUCCAUUAUAUUACACCAGUUGAUAACGUUAUCCAGGUUUGAUAUAUCCUUUUUGAUUUCCAUCUAUUUGUUUAUCAGUUAUUGAGAAUGGACUUAUUGAGUCUCCCAGUUAUGACUGUGGAUUUUUCCAUAUCUCUUUUAGUUCUAUCAAUUUUUGCUUCAUUUAUUUUGGAUCUUUGUUAGUUGCAUAUUAUAUUUCAGUGUUUAUCUUCUUGGUGAAUUGACCCUUUUAUCAUUAUGUAAUUUCCCUAUAUUUAUAUCUUUAUAUUUAAAAUAGGUUUCCUUAACAUUUGAGAAGUAAAAAUAAAAUAAAAUAUAAUAGC
rnacentral:sRNA from 1 species